CCAGACUUCUGUGCAGCCUACAGAUGCUCUAAUCGCCGCAGUCUGCAAACAAGAACCCGUGGAAUCACCUUUCACGUGUUUCCCAAAACCGGAGAGAGGAGGCGGCAGUGGGAAGUUGCCCUAAGAAGGGACGGUUUUGUUUCCUGUGGCAGGACACUGCUCUGCAGUGAUCACCUCAGUUGUGAGGACUUUGACACCGCUUAAAGAUGGUGUUGUGCCAACAAUAUUCAACUUCCCAGCUCAUCUUCAAAGGGUAUCAACAAGAAGCACAACCACUUCAAGAAGAGCGGAAGAUGAACCUCAGCCUAAUGUUGUGAGUAUUCUGAAUGUGGCCAAGACCAGAGAGAUGGUCAUUGAUUUCAGGAGGGUGAGGAUGUAGUGGCAAUUUCUUGUGUUACCUUAUAUGCUAAAACCAAAUGCUUCUGAAAGCAUUGUCUAACACUACUGUACCAUUUCUUCAUAUUUGCUGUUUCCUCUGCAUACUCUAGUGAGGUUUAUUAUUCUCAAGCGCUUCAAGGCCACAGGGCUGAUUUGGCAGACUAUGUUGAAACUACUCCUUUUCACACUAAGUUUGAACUUCCAUAUUUUGAUGACUGUUGUACUUUCUAUGGCUCAAGGACACAGGUGUCCAAAUAGCGAUAUGAGACCGUGUGAAAGUGGAUUUCUGAGGCGUUCCGCCAUGCUACACAAAACUUUGUCUGCCCGCCCUAUCUUGUAUAUAAGCUUUGCUAUUUUGUGACUAUUGCGCACACUCCUGCAGACUACUCUGUACUCUGUGAGACAUGUACCUUUGAAGCUUCAAAUAAAUA